ensembl:snoRNA
CCCCUGCCGUCCUGCUGGUGCCCCUGGAGUCUGAGCCUGGGGCUUGUCAGGAUGGCGGAUAGCAGUGGGAGAAGCUAAGGCGUGACUGCUCGAGACUCGCAGCCCCACGUGCGAUGUUCUCCCUACACUCGAGCCCUGUUUCCACGGAGAUGGCGGAUAGUCCAGUUCUGUCAUCGAUCUGCAGACAGGCAGAGCAAAGACAGCUGCAGCUUGAUAUUGUUCGGUGAAGCGAGCUCUUUCUACCAGAUACUCAAAGCUGCUAUAAAA